rnacentral:misc_RNA from 1 species
GAUGAAGAACGUAGCGAAAUGCGAUAAGUAAUGUGAAUUGCAGAAUUCAGUGAAUCAUCGAAUCUUUGAACGCAUCUUGCGCUCCUUGGUAUUCCGAGGAGCAUGCCUGUUUGAGUGUCGUGAAAUACUCUCAAUUUCAAUCUUUUUGUUUGAAAUUGGAUUUGGAUGUUGUUGUGGAUCUUGCUACGACUCAUCCUAAAUGCAUUAGCGAUCUGCCUUGAUCACACACAAUGUGAUAAGAUGAGCAUUGUUAUAAUCAAGUCAUGACUGCUUCUAACCGUCCCUUUGGGACAAACGUCUUAUGUCGUUUGACCUCAAAUCAGGUAGGACUACCCGCUGAACUUAAGCAUAUCAAUAAGCGGAGGA